AGUGAACGCUGGCGGUAGGCCUAACACAUGCAAGUCGGACGGCAGCACAGGAGAGCUUGCUCUCUGGGUGGCGAGUGGCGGACGGGUGAGGAAUACAUCGGAAUCUACUCUGUCGUGGGGGAUAACGUAGGGAAACUUACGCUAAUACCGCAUACGACCUACGGGUGAAAGCAGGGGACUUUCGGGCCUUGCGCGAUUGAAUGAGCCGAUGUCGGAUUAGCUAGUUGGCGGGGUAAAGGCCCACCAAGGCGACGAUCCGUAGCUGGUCUGAGAGGAUGAUCAGCCACACUGGAACUGAGACACGGUCCAGACUCCUACGGGAGGCAGCAGUGGGGAAUAUUGGACAUGGGCGCAAGCCUGAUCCAGCCAUACCGCGUGGGUGAAGAAGGCCUUCGGGUUGUAAAGCCCUUUUGUUGGGAAAGAAAUCCAGCUGGCUAAUACCCGGUUGGGAUGACGGUACCCAAAGAAUAAGCACCGGCUAACUUCGUGCCAGCCGCCGCGGUAA
rnacentral:rRNA from 1 species